rnacentral:rRNA from 1 species
GACGAACGCUGGCGGCGUGCUUAACACAUGCAAGUUGAACGGUCCGGCAUGGAAGCUUGCUGAAGUGUCGGGUAGUAGCGGACGGGUGAGUAAUGCAUGAGAAGCUGCCAUUGGGAGGGGGACAACAGUUGGAAACGGCUGCUAAUACCCCAUAUGCCGUAAGGUGAAACGGAGUGAUCCGCCCGAUGAGGUGCUCAUGUCCUAUCAGCUUUAUGGUGAGGUAACGGCUCACCAAGGCGACGACGGGUAGCCGGCCUGAGAGGGUGACCGGCCACACUGGAACUGGGAUACGGUCCAGACUCCUGCGGGAGGGAGCAGUGGGGAAUAUUGGGCAAUGGGGGCAAACGUGACCCAGCGACGCAGCAUGAGGGAAGACGGCCUUCAGGUUGUAAACCUCUUUUGUACGGGAAGAAGGAUGUGACGGUACCGUGCGAAUAAGUCCCGGCUAACUACGUGCCAGCCGCCGCCGUAA